UACGUAGGCAGCAAGCGUUGUUCGGAGUUACUGGGCGUAAAGGGUGUGUAGGCGGUUGUUUAAGUUUGGUGUGAAAUCUCCCGGCUCAACUGGGAGGGUGCGCCGAAUACUGAAUGACUUGGAGUGCGGGAGAGGAAAGUGGAAUUCCUGGUGUAGCGGUGAAAUGCGUAGAUAUCAGGAAGAACACCUAUGGCGAAGGCAGCUCUCUGGGACGGUACUGACGCUGAGACGCGAAAGCGUGGGGAGCGAACAGG
rnacentral:rRNA from 1 species